rnacentral:rRNA from 1 species
GGCCAGACUCCUACGGGAGGCAGCAGUGGGGAAUAUUGGGCAAUGGGCGCAAGCCUGACCCAGCAACGCCGCGUGAAGGAAGAAGGCUUUCGGGUUGUAAACUUCUUUUCUCAGGGACGAAUAGAUGACGGUACCUGAGGAAUAAGCCACGGCUAACUCCGUGCCAGCAGCCGCGGUAAUACGGAGGAUGCGAGCGUUAUCCGGAUUUAUUGGGUUUAAAGGGUGCGCAGGCGGCCUGUUAAGUCAGCGGUAAAAGCCGGGGGUCCACCCCCGGCGAGCCGUUGAAACUGGCGGGCUGGAGUUGGAGAGAAGUACGCGGAAUGCGCGGUGUAGCGGUGAAAUGCUUAGAUAUCGCGCAGAACCCCGAUUGCGAAGGCAGCGUACCGGCUCCACACUGACGCUGAGGCACGAAAGCGUGGGUAUCGAACAGGAUUAGAUACCCUAGUACA